UACGUAGGGGCGAGCGUUGUCCGGAAUUACUGGGCGUAAAGGGUGCGCAGGCGGCCGAUUAAGUCAGAUGUGAAAUACCACGGCUCAACUGUGGGGGUGCAUUUGAAACUGGUUGGCUUGAGUGCAGGAGAGGAAAGUGGAAUUCCUAGUGUAGCGGUGAAAUGCGUAGAGAUUAGGAAGAACACCAGUGGCGAAGGGAUUCUCUGGACUGUAACUGACGCUGAGGCUCGAAAGCGUGGGGAGCAAACAGGAUUAGAUACCCU
rnacentral:rRNA from 1 species